UCUCACUGAAACAUACGGAAAAAGAUAAUUUUAAGUAUUAUAUAUUUACAUUUUUCUUCUUCGUUAAUUUUGUAAAAAUAUGAAGUUGAAUCUUUAUUGAAUAUACCAAAUAAUUUAUUAUCGUUACAGAUUUACGGAUGAACUAAUUUUAUAAUAAAUCGUUCACUUAAAAAGAUUUCAAAAAACAGUUUCAAUUUCAAUACACGCUAGAUAAUAGGUCAUUAAGUUAAUCUCGUGCUGAGUAAGAAAUCCCUUAAACGCGGAUUACUUGUCACGUGAGAUUGCGUGACUUGAAAUUUGUCCGCGGAAAAUACUUCAGCGCUCUAUUAAAGGUCUGAUAUUUUUCCUGUUCGCAAGAAAUAGGGCGAGGCGACAUCGUAACUACUUUGUGUCAGUGUAUAGUCGUUGGAAACCAUCGUAGAUAUAAGGUUCGUCAAGUUUACAGAGAAAUUUGCAGAAAUUCUAUGGGAUUGGAGGUCUGCAAUCUUUUAGAAGCUUAUUCUAAUAUUGACCGAGCUAUUGGAUAAAGGAAAUCAAAGAUGAACUACACUUUUCAACAGAACGGGUCUUUACAUUGUAUCAAAGGACUUUUAAUAUUUUUUAAUAAGAUAAGCUUUGGAUAUAACUGCUCUUAGAUUACCAUAUCUACACUUUACUUACUGUAGAAGUGGUACAGUUAAAAAAGUUGUAUUUUAUUUCUUUAUUUAAUCAUGAUCAAGUUCAUUGUAAUCUCAUAAAUGACAAGAAUGUACUUGAUUCAAUUUUGAGAACAUUAUUUGAGUUAUUGAUAAAUUUAAUUAACAAAAUAAUGUGUUAUUAUGUUCACAAAUAUAAUCUUUUAUAUUUUACAGUUGUUUCACUUUGAUAUUAUUCAUUUUAAUUUUGACUAAAUUAUUUAAAAUAGACAUCUAAUAUUUUUAACGGUAGAAAUUAAUAUUCUUUAUCCAUAAUUUUUUUAAUUACUGUUUGUACAAUGUAAAAAAAUUAUUUUUAAUAGAAAAAGAUUUUCUACAGUUUCCAAGAACAAAGAUAAUAAUUUCAACAACUUUCUAAAUUAUUAUUUAUUUAGUUUAAAAAUUAUUACUUUUAAUAAGAAAAUUAAUAUUUGCCAUUAGUGUUUCUAUAAAGGAGACGUUUGAUUCAAUUAUAAAUGAAGCGAAUAAUAAUUAGAACGACACUUGGAGAGAAAAGAGAAAGAUAUCUCAUAAAAUGAUCAAUAGGGAGUUAACUUUCAUGCGAUUUCGCAAGCCGAGAAGUUUCGAAGUGGAGCGCAGAGCUUCCACUGCGACUUUCACGCCCUAAAACUUUUCAGAACCGAAGUCGAACUUCCACGAAACUUCUGCAACGGAUGUCGGUUGUAUUUUUCUCCAGAUCCUCAAAUAUUUAAAAUCAAUCCACUAAAAUCUACGAUUUCUUUGCUUUUUUUUUAUACAUUUCUAUCUCUGCAUCACUCUCAUAUCAUGGAUCUUCCAGUUUUCAUUUUGAGUAAAAAUAUUCUGAAGCGAGUUUUUAAAAUCGUGUAGAUUUUUACUUUUGAGAGAAUAUUGUUUAUUUUAUGAACAUAAUAUUUUCUUUAGGAUACUUUGGGAAUUAUAUUUCACCUUUUUUUGGCAGAUCUAAAGUUUAAAAAAUAUCAUAUUUUUUAUAAACCGUAGAAAGAAAUAUAAUUUUUAUUUCAGGUCAUGUCAAAGAUAGUAAAGUUAAAACAUUAUCAUUUAUAGUGAGAGAACAUCUGAUUCUAAAAUAUCCAAUUCGUCUAAGAGGCCAAAAUGAUCAACUCCACCUUUUAUAAGUUUCACAAUUUUAUUAUCCAGGUACAUGAUUAAUGUUCGGUUCUCAAAAUAUAAAUAGCUUACUCCCAUGAGUUCGUUUAUCGGGAGAAAAAAUAGUAUAAAUGCUAGUAAAUCCAAAGAUAAUUUUUUUUUUAACAAUUCUUCUAAUGCAACCACUUCUUUCUACUUUUCAAUUUUCUUCUUGGCUUCUGAGUGGCACAUACGAGCCUCUUAUUUGUCAAAUCGGCUAAUUGCACAAAAAGAUUGCACAAGAAAAUCGCUGAACUUACAUGAUUCCAAUGGACAAUUCUGAAGCACGGUACGUAGGCCUGUGUACCACUUCGUAUUGUCGUCGCAACUAGCGCCAUCGGUCACAAGGAUGACAAGUACGAACACGUAGAAUGCACGCGGGUGCAUCUGCAUUCAGGG